AUUGAACGCUGGCGGCAGGCCUAACACAUGCAAGUCGAACGGUAACAGGAAGAAGCUUGCUUCUUUGCUGACGAGUGGCGGACGGGUGAGUAAUGUCUGGGAAACUGCCUGAUGGAGGGGGAUAACUACUGGAAACGGUAGCUAAUACCGCAUAACGUCGCAAGACCAAAGAGGGGGACCUUCGGGCCUCUUGCCAUCGGAUGUGCCCAGAUGGGAUUAGCUAGUAGGCGGGGUAACGGCUCACCUAGGCGACGAUCCCUAGCUGGUCUGAGAGGAUGACCAGCCACACUGGAACUGAGACACGGUCCAGGCUCCUACGGGAGGCAGCAGUGGGGAAUAUUGCACAAUGGGCGCAAGCCUGAUGCAGCCAUGCCGCGUGUAUGAAGAAGGCCUUCGGGUUGUAAAGUACUUUCAGCGGGGAGGAAGGGAGUAAAGUUAAUACCUUUACUCAUUGACGUUACCCGCAGAAGAAGCACCGGCUAACUCCGUG
rnacentral:rRNA from 1 species